GAUGAACGCUGGCGGUAUGCUUAACACAUGCAAGUCGAACGGACUCUUCGGAGUUAGUGGCGGACGGGUGAGUAACGCGUGAUAAUCUGGCUUUGGGUUCGCGACCACCACUGGAAACGUUGGCUCAUACCGGAUGUGCCGAUAGGUAAAAGAGAAAUUGCCUGCAGAUGAGCGCGCGUCUGAUUAGCUAGUUGGUGAGGUAAAGGCUCACCAAUGCAGCGAUCAGUAGCUGGUCUGAGAGGAUGACCAGCCACACGGGGACUGAGACACGGCCGAGACUCCUGCGGGAGGCAGCAGGGGGGAAUUUUCCGAAAGGGGCGAAAGCCUGGCAGAGCAAUACCGCGUGGGGGAAGAAGGCUCUGGGGGUGUAAACCUCUUUUCUGAGGGAAGAACAAAAUGACGGUACCUGAGGAAUAAGCAUCGGCUAACUCCGUG
rnacentral:rRNA from 1 species